UGCCCUAGUAACGGCGAGUGAAGCGGCAACAGCUCAAAUUUGAAAGCUGGCCUUCGGGUCCGCAUUGUAAUUUGUAGAGGAUGCUUUGGGGCAGCCGCCUGUCUAAGUUCCUUGGAACAGGACGUCAUAGAGGGUGAGAAUCCCGUAUGUGACAGGACAUGGCACCCUAUGUAAAGCUCCUUCGACGAGUCGAGUUGUUUGGGAAUGCAGCUCUAAAUGGGAGGUAAAUUUCUUCUAAAGCUAAAUACCGGCGAGAGACCGAUAGCGCACAAGUAGAGUGAUCGAAAGAUGAAAAGCACUUUGGAAAGAGAGUUAAAAAGCACGUGAAAUUGUUGAAAGGGAAGCGCUUGCAAUCAGACUUGUUUUUGGGUGUUCAGCCGGUCUUCUGACCGGUUUACUCGCCCUUUGACAGGCCAGCAUCAGUUUCGGCGGUCGGAUAAAGGCAUUGGGAAUGUAGCCCUCACUUCGGUGCGGGUGUUAUAGCCCAGUGUGUAAUACGGCCAGCCGGGACUGAGGUCCGCGCUUCGGCUAGGAUGCUGGCGUAAUGGUUGUAAGCGACCCGUCUUGAA
rnacentral:rRNA from 1 species